GACGAACGCUGGCGGCGUGCCUAAUACAUGCAAGUAGAACGCUGAAGGAGGAGCUUGCUUCUCUGGAUGAGUUGCGAACGCGUGAGUAACGCGUAGGUAACCUGCCUGGUAGCGGGGGAUAACUAUUGGAAACGAUAGCUAAUACCGCAUAAGAGUAGAUGUUGCAUGACAUUUACUUAAAAGGUGCAAUUGCAUCACUACCAGAUGGACCUGCGUUGUAUUAGCUAGUUGGUGAGGUAACGGCUCACCAAGGCAACGAUACAUAGCCGACCUGAGAGGGUGAUCGGCCACACUGGGACUGAGACACGGCCCAGACUCCUACGGGAGGCAGCAGUAGGGAAUCUUCGGCAAUGGACGGAAGUCUGACCGAGCAACGCCGCGUGAGUGAAGAAGGUUUUCGGAUCGUAAAGCUCUGUUGUAAGAGAAGAACGAGUGUGAGAGUGGAAAGUUCACACUGUGACGGUAUCUUACCAGAAAGGGACGGCUAACUACGUG
rnacentral:rRNA from 1 species